CGGUGGACUUGACAGCGGGCGACACUGGAUCUCUGAUCUCGUCGGCUGCCAGGUUCAUGUGG
ensembl:miRNA Mir7672 microRNA 7672